rnacentral:rRNA from 1 species
UAGGGAAUCUUCGGCAAUGGACGAAAGUCUGACCGAGCAACGCCGCGUGAGUGAAGAAGGUUUUCGGAUCGUAAAACUCUGUUGUUAGAGAAGAACAAGGACGUUAGUAACUGAACGUCCCCUGACGGUAUCUAACCAGAAAGCCACGGCUAACUACGUGCCAGCAGCCGCGGUAAUACGUAGGUGGCAAGCGUUGUCCGGAUUUAUUGGGCGUAAAGCGAGCGCAGGCGGUUUCUUAAGUCUGAUGUGAAAGCCCCCGGCUCAACCGGGGAGGGUCAUUGGAAACUGGGAGACUUGAGUGCAGAAGAGGAGAGUGGAAUUCUAUGUGUAGCGGUGAAAUGCGUAGAUAUAUGGAGGAACACCAGUGGCGAAGGCGGCUCUCUGGUCUGUAACUGACGCUGAGGCUCGAAAGCGUGGGGAGCAAACAGG